rnacentral:rRNA from 1 species
AGAGUUUGAUCCUGGCUCAGGACGAACGCUGGCGGUGUGCUUCACACAUGCAAGUCGAGCGAAUGAAGUAGGUAGCUUGCUACUUAUGGAUUUAGCGGCGGACGGGUGAGUAAUAUAUAGGAAUCUGCCUUAGAGCGGGGAACAACAGACCGAAAGGUUUGCUAAUGCCCCAUAGGUAUGCAGUCUUCGGAUUGUAUAUUAAAGGAGUAAUCCACUCUAAGAUGAGCCUGUAUCCGAUUAGCUAGUUGGCGGGGUAAAGGCCCACCAAGGCUACGAUCGGUAGUUGGUCUGAGAGGAUGAUCAGCCACAAUGGGACUGAGACACGGCCCAUACUCCUACGGGAGGCAGCAGUGGGGAAUUUUACACAAUGGGGGAAACCCUGAUGUAGCGACACCGCGUGAACGAAGAAGCCUUUUGGGGUGUAAAGUUCUGUCGGCUGGAACGAAAAAAAUGACGGUACCAGUAAAGGAAGCAUCGGCUAACUACGUGCCAGCAGCCGCGGUAAGACGUAGGAUGCAAGCGUUGUCCGGAUUUAUUGGGCGUAAAGAGUUCGUAGGCGGUUAUUUAAGUCUGAUGUUAAAUACUGUGGCCCAACCACAGAACUGCAUUGGAUACUGGAUGACUUGAGUGCGGUAGAGGCAAGUGGAAUUCCCAGUGUAGCGGUGAAAUGCGUAGA